GUGAGCGUAGCCGAGCGGUCAAGGCAUCUGACUGUGGAUCAGAAGACCGCGGGUUCGAAUCCCGCCGCUCACCCCA
rnacentral:tRNA from 2 species